GAGGGGUGGACUUCUUUGGAACUCGACAGGACCUUGAAGACUGGGUUCUUAGUCCUUAUCAUAUAUAUGGGCUAUAAUGAAUAAGUCUAAACAGAAAAGUCUAAUAAACUGGAAAUGAUGCUUUCAUCACGUCACACAAGAAAACACAUUUGUUGUUUCUCGCCUCUUGUAAUUCAUGACCCAUAAGACAAAAGUAAAAUGUUCUCUGACUGCAAAUGGAUGUAAAAGCUGAUUAUACAGCUACACAUUUCUGUCAUCCUCCCAUCUCUACCCCAAAGAAAGAGAGCUGUUUGGAUGAGAAGAUGACAUCCUUUCACCCAUCCCUUUCAGGUUUUGACAUCCUAAAAUGUACCUUAUGGAACCCAUACCUGUUAUGUUUUCACCUGUACAAGGCAACAGAGAAAACAUGGUAGUUUUUACUUGAGUAGAUGUGACUUAGCAAUAUGUUGUUGCUGACCUCCAUCCCACAGCACAAAACAUAUGUUUAUAUGUCUGAGAGACAAAG
rnacentral:lncRNA from 1 species